AACGAACGCUGGCGGCAUGCCUAACACAUGCAAGUCGAACGAGACCUUCGGGUCGAGUGUCGCACGGGUGCGUAACGCGUGGUAACCUGCCCUUAGGUUCGGAAUAACUCCCCGAAAGGGGUGGUAAUACCGGAUAAUGUCUUCGGACCAAAGUUUUAUCGCCUUUGUAUGGGCCCGCGUUGUAUUAGCUAGUUGGUAGGGUAAAAGCCUACCAAGGCGACGAUCCAUAGCUGGUCUGAGAGGAUGAUCAGCCACACUGGGACUGAGACACGGCCCAGACUCCUACGGGAGGAAGCAGUGGGGAAUAUUGGACAAGGGGCGAAAGCCUGAUCCAGCAAUGCCGCGUGAGUGAUGCAGGCUUUAGGGUUGUAAAGCUCUUUUACCCGGGAGGAUAAUGACAGUACCGGGAGAAUAAGCUCCGGCUAACUCCGUG
rnacentral:rRNA from 1 species